GUGAAUCAUCAAAUCUUUGAACGCAAAUUGCACUCUCCGGUUUUCCGGGAGAGUAUGCCUGUUUGCGGGUCAGCCUAAAUAAAAUCGACAUUGUUGCUUUUUGAGUGUUUCUUUCGUCGGUUGUUCGGUAUCUUAGAUCUCUUUUUACGCGACUUAAUAAUUUGUUUUACGAUUCUAUUAAGAUUUCUAGGAUUUUUCUUAGACUUUUAUGCUCUCUCAUGUCUUAUUAGAUGUGGCCGUCA
rnacentral:misc_RNA from 1 species